CAGUAGCCGCGGGAAUACCGAGGGUGCGAGCGUUAAUCGGAUUUACUGGGCGUAAAGCGUGCGUAGGCGGCUUUUUAAGUCGGAUGUGAAAUCCCUGAGCUUAACUUAGGAAUUGCAUUCGAUACUGGGAAGCUAGAGUAUGGGAGAGGAUGGUAGAAUUCCAGGUGUAGCGGUGAAAUGCGUAGAGAUCUGGAGGAAUACCGAUGGCGAAGGCAGCCAUCUGGCCUAAUACUGACGCUGAGGUACGAAAGCAUGGGGAGCAAACAGGAUUAGAUACCCGGGUAGUCCCUGUCUCUUAUAU
rnacentral:rRNA from 1 species